rnacentral:misc_RNA from 1 species
CGUCAUGAAAGUCGGUACACCCGAAGCCAGUGGCCUAACCUUUUGGAGGGAGCUGUCGAAGGUGGGAUCGGCGAUUGGGACGAAGUCGUAACAAGGUACCGUACCGGAAGGUGCGGCUGGAUCACCUCCUUUCUAAGGAGCACCACGAGAAACACUCCAAUUGGUGGGGUGUGGCCGUGGGGGUUCUCGUCUGUAGUGGACGAGGGCCGGGUGCACAACA